AAAAUAGAAGAUCGAUUCAGUUUCUUGAUAAUACUCUGUGACUGAGAGGAUACAAGAGUUAGAGAAACUGAAGGAAGGACUCUUUCAUUCUGCUGUGUAUACUAACAAUAGGAAUUCCUUGCUUCAUGGAAAUAUGCACAUACCCCUAACAGAG